GGUAAAAUGGCUGAUAAUAGGCGAUAAAUUGUAAAUUUAUUUAUGAAUCUUUAAUUCUUUUACUA
rnacentral:tRNA from 1 species